rnacentral:rRNA from 1 species
CCUACGGGAGGCAGCAGUGGGGAAUCUUGCGCAAUGGGCGAAAGCCUGACACAGCCAUGCCGCGUGAAUGAUGAAGGUCUUAGGAUUGUAAAAUUCUUUCACCGGGGACGAUAAUGACGGUACCCGGAGAAGAAGCCCCGGCUAACUUCGUGCCAGCAGCCGCGGUAAUACGAAGGGGGCUAGCGUUGCUCGGAAUUACUGGGCGUAAAGGGAGCGUAGGCGGAUAGUUUAGUCAGAGGUGAAAGCCCAGGGCUCAACCUUGGAAUUGCCUUUGAUACUGGCUAUCUUGAGUAUGGGAGAGGUAUGCGGAACUCCGAGUGUAGAGGUGAAAUUCGUAGAUAUUCGGAAGAACACCAGUGGCGAAGGCGGCAUACUGGCCCAUUACUGACGCUGAGGCUCGAAAGCGUGGGGAGCAAACAGGAUUAGAUACCCUGGUAGUCCACGCUGUAAACGAUGAGUGCUAGUUGUCGGCAUGCAUGCAUGUCGGUGACGCAGCUACGACAUUAAGACGACGUCCGCCGUCGGGGAGGUACGGUCGGCGAAGUAAGUUAAAACGUUAACGAAAGGUAAAGUUAGUUACGGACGUUGAGACGNGCCGACGGACGACGACGAGGGAGGAGG